CCGAGCCCGCAGCCUGCAGGAGGGCGCGUGGCGCGGCCGUGCCUGGGUGCGGAGCCUCGGUGCGCUGCGCCCGCGUCGUCCCCGCGUUCCGACAGCCGAGCCAUGGGCACCCGCGCGCCCUACUCGCUGGUGGACACCACGCCCGCCAAGACCAUCCUGGUGUACCGCAAUGGCGACCAGUUCUUCGUGGGCAGGAAGGUCGUGCUGUCGCGGCGCCGCGUGGCCACCUUCGAGGGGCUGCUGGAGCAGCUGUCGGAGCAGGUGGAGGCGCCGUUCGGGGUGCGGCGGCUCUACACGCCCACGCACGGCCACCAGGUGCUGCAGCUGGACGCGCUGCAGGCGGGCGGCAAGUAUGUGGCCGCGGGCCGCGAGCGCUUCAAGAAGCUCGAUUAUAUUCAUAUAGUUCCCAGGAAACCUGCAAAGAUGAAAAAGUUGAAGGAAAUCAAACCGGUGGUGCACUGUGAUAUGAACGUGCCUUCCAGGUGGCAAACAUAUAAUCGGAUAUCCCGGCAUAUAAAUGUUUUCACAAAUGGAAGGUUAUUUAUUCCGCCUGUAAAAAUCAUCAUACCCAAGUUCAGCCUGUCCGACUGGAACGUCGUGCUGGCCAUAGUCGGAGAGAAAGUCUUCCCCAUGGGAGGCGUUCGGAAAUUAUUCACAAUGAACGGGCAUCUUUUGGACAACUCAAAGGAUUUGCAAGACAACAGUUUCUACGUGGCUGCGGGACUGGAGGCCUUCAAACACUUCCCUUACUGGAAUUCUCCGCGGGUGCCCAGCGAGGUCCAACAAAGGUAUGCGGACAUCGAAAAAUCCCCACCCAGGAAGAAAACGGUGGAUUCCAAAGGAAAAGAACCUCAGAAAUAUGACAGCAUACCACCCGAAGCCCAGGAUUCCGUUUAUUACGCCAAAGAAGAAAAGAAAACAUUGGUAGAACCUUUAAUCCAACGUGGCGCAGAGGGUGACGUGUUCAAAGCGCAGACGCCCAGCAAGGAAACGCAAGGGGCUCUGGAGGUCAAAGAAGACCGGAGCGUGCAGGUGGAGAUGCCCCUGGACCAGACACCAGCCGAGAUGGUGAAAGAAGAUGAAGAAAUACGGGCCAGCUCUCCUGGCUUUGAGGGCAGCAAGGACAAAGAAGACGAAAGGCUUUACGAAGAUAUUGAGAGAAAGGAAGACAAUUCACGAGUGUCUUUUAAGAAAAGGUUUCCCUUAAGACACAACUCAAAGAAAAAAGAAAAGAGGUUUAUAAGGAGGAUCCCCCAGAUAAUAAAGUGCGAAGGUGGCCCGUGCGCCACCCUGGAGGAGAAGUACGUUUGGGCCCCAGAUCGCCACCUCCCGGCCAGAAAGGAGCCCCCGGGCCGCCACAAGUAUAAGACGAUGCUUAGGACCGCGGCAUGGUGCAGAGGAGAGCGCGCGCCUAGCCUGCAUCCAAAAGACCUGGCCGCCCUGGACCUGCUGUCACGGGGCUGCGUCGACGCGGGCCAGCCCCAGGGGCCUCCCGUCCUCAUUGCAUCUUUCAAGAACCUCAGCAAGAAUAAAAAAGUGGUUUCGUUUCCUGAAAAAGAACCAUAUGAUAUUCUAGAGAGAGAGAAUCCACUGGUGCUGCUGGAAGUCCCAGUAGAAGUAGAAGCCCAAGAAGAAUCUCCGACGGGACAACGAUCGGGAGGAGAACCAUCACCAAGACAAGCGGAAACACCUGAGGAACGAGAAGCUUUUGAACAGUCACCCUUGAUGUCGCCAUUGCCAGAGGAAAUCCCUGAGCUAGAGGAACUUGCCGGGCAGCCACCCUUGAUGCAGACAUCGCAAGAACAAAUCCCUGAGCUGGAGGAACCCGCUGAACAGUCACCCCUGGAACAACCGUCCCCAGCACAGACACCUGAGAUACAGGAAUUCCCUGAACAGUCGUCCUUGGGACAGCCGUGCUGAAACCAGGUGACCCAGGGACCAGCACAUCAAACGACAAAUGCCACGACAAAGCGUCAACCCUGUCGUGAAGAGAAACAGAAGCUAGGAAGGACCACAAGGCAAAUGAAAAUAAAAUUAGACAUUUUUUCACAUUAUGCUGAAGAGGAAGAAAAUGAUGAGUGAGACCUACAAAAAGCCCUGCGUUCAAAGAUUCGCAUUCUAGUAGGAGAAACAGAAGAUCGCUGAAUCUUGGGAGCACACAGUGCGGUUCCCACUUGCUUAGUCCUGGAUUAAGGUAGAACGAUCAGCUCCAGGGUAGUCCACCAGGGAAGGGAGAAUCCUCCCUGGAAGAAGGUAACAUUUUCUUAAAUGCACAAUGCCCUGCAUUCAGUAAAAGAUGAUUGGGUAUGAUGAGACACAGGAAUGCAUCACUGAAAAUCAAGAGACUAAACAGACGAGAAAAACACAGGCAAUGCAUAUCACACAGGUGCACAGGAAAUAACUUUCAAUAACAAUAAUCAAUAUGUUCAUCAGGAUAGAAGGAAAAAUAGAGACUUUCAUUAGAGAAGUAGAGUCUACAAAAAAAGGAGCAAGAGGAAAUCUUUAUUUUUUUUCAGAAGGAAAUUUUAGAACAGAAAGACACAAUAUCUGAGAGUAACUGUUACAAGUGGAAGUAACAACACGUCAAACACAGAAGAAAACAGGAUUGGUAAACUGGUAAACAGAUCGACAGAAAAUAUCCAAACUGAACAGAAAAAGAAAAAAAAAACAAAACCAGGAAAUACAUAAAGGAAUCUAAGAGAUGGCUGUGGACAUAGUGAAAAGGCUUGAUAUAUGGGGAAUUGAAGUCCCAGAAAGACAGAAGGGAAAGAAUGUGGCAGAAAAAUAAGUGGAACUUCUGGGAGAAGUUACCUGGUAACAGGGCAGCAGGGAGGUGGGGGAGGGAGACUAUGUGGACGCCUGACACCCCCAUUUGAACAGGAUGGAUGAGAUACACGGAUGCAGGCAGGUCAGGGGUUCGAUGGCGGGAACUUCCCACCAUCGGGUCAGGUCAGCAAUUGAACGUGAAGAGGAGAUGUAGAAGUUUUAAGAGAAAGCAAAAGGUAUGCAAUAAAAUGUUAAAUAAACUUACAGGGGAAAUGGGCAA